AGAGUUUGAUCCUGGCUCAGGACGAACGCUGGCGGCGUGCCUAACACAUGCAAGUCGAACGGGGUAGAGAGCUUCGGUUUUCUACUUAGUGGCGAACGGGUGAGUAACGCGUGAGAAACCUGCCUUUCAGUGGGGGACAACAGUUGGAAACGACUGCUAAUACCGCAUAAUGUCAUUUGGGGGCAUCCCCUGAUAACCAAAGCUUAAUGUGCUGAAAGAUGGUCUCGCGUCUGAUUAGCUAGAUGGCGGGGUAACGGCCCACCAUGGCGACGAUCAGUAGCCGGUCUGAGAGGAUGAACGGCCACAUUGGGACUGAGAUACGGCCCAGACUCCUACGGGAGGCAGCAGUGGGGAAUAUUGGGCAAUGGGGGAAACCCUGACCCAGCAACGCCGCGUGAGGGAAGAAGGCUUUCGGGUUGUAAACCUCUUUUAGCAGGGACGAAAUCUGACGGUACCUGCAGAAAAAGCAACGGCUAACUACGUGCCAGCAGCCGCGGUAAUACGUAGGUUGCAAGCGUUGUCCGGAUUUACUGGGUGUAAAGGGCGUGUAGGCGGAGAUGCAAGUUGGGAGUGAAAUCCCCGGGGCUCAACCCCGGAACUGCUUUCAAAACUGCAUCCCUUGAGUGUCGGAGAGGCAAGCGGAAUUCCUAGUGUAGCGGUGAAAUGCGUAGAUAUUAGGAGGAACACCAGUGGCGAAGGCGGCUUGCUGGACGAUAACUGACGCUGAGGCGCGAAAGUGUGGGGAGCAAACAGGAUUAGAUACCCUGGUAGUCCACACUGUAAACGAUGGAUACUAGGUGUGGGAGGUAUCGACCCCUUCCGUGCCGGAGUUAACACAAUAAGUAUCCCACCUGGGGAGUACGACCGCAAGGUUGAAACUCAAAGGAAUUGACGGGGGCCCGCACAAGCAGUGGAGUAUGUGGUUUAAUUCGACGCAACGCGAAGAACCUUACCAGGAUUUGACAUCCAACUAACGAAGUAGAGAUACAUUAGGUGCCCUUCGGGGAAAGUUGAGACAGGUGGUGCAUGGUUGUCGUCAGCUCGUGUCGUGAGAUGUUGGGUUAAGUCCCGCAACGAGCGCAACCCCUAUUGUUAGUUGCUACGCAAGAGCACUCUAGCGAGACUGCCGUUGACAAAACGGAGGAAGGCGGGGACGACGUCAAAUCAUCAUGCCCCUUAUAUCCUGGGCUACACACGUAAUACAAUGGCACUCAACAAAGGGAAGCAAUACAGUGAUGUGGAGCAAAUCCUCAAAAAGUGUCCCAGUUCGGACUGCAGUCUGCAACUCGACUGCACGAAGUCGGAAUUGCUAGUAAUCGCGGAUCAGCAUGCCGCGGUGAAUACGUUCCCGGGCCUUGCACACACCGCCCGUCA
rnacentral:rRNA from 1 species